AGUAAUCUAUACUUGCAAAAAUAUUUUUAGAAAACCAGAAAGUUAUAAUAUUUAUGCAUUUACAUUUCAAAAACUUCUAAAAUUAAUUAACACAUAAUUUUCAGAAUAACUACAUGUAUGGUGAAAGUAUUAGAAAAGCAACUGAAUUAUAAAUUAAAAAUUUUGUUUAAUGUUUACUUCUGAGAUGGAAGUGGAAUGGAUUUUGAGGAGACCCAUUGAUAGAGAAACAAAAGUUAUGAAAAUGUUAAGAAUAUUUUUUAGAUGUGUACUCUCUGUUUACUUUUUUGUCUCUGGAUUUUGUAGCCAAACUGUGACAUAUACAAAGACCCAGCACUUGAUUACACCAGGAAAUUUCCUUCUAUCUGUGGAUCCAGUGGUAAAACCUAUGAUAACUCAUGCCUGUUUUGCAUUGCAGAAAGAGAAAGUAACGGUGAAAUUACUUAUGACCACUGGGGCCCAUGUUGACCUUUAUGAUCUGGUGCUAUACAUUCCUAUGACUCCUCUCAUAAUCCUUUUCUGCUGCUGGAUUCUAGAGAAUGCUAUUACACAGUGCCUUCCUACACAAGGAGGUGAAUCUGCUUUGGAAACAGGAUAGACUAUAAGAAUUGGAAUAUUCUUGCAAUUUCAAAAUUUAAUGUUAGUUCUUUGUUGAUGUCCAAAUAUUUGAUAAAGCUCUGAAAAAUCAGUAGUCUAAUUAUAUGUUUAAAUGAUGAAGCACAUUUCUCAAUCAUUGAAUACUUUGCUGAAUAAACGUGUUCCAUGGUAUUUACUUCACUAAAUUGACUUUGACUAUUGUGAUUGCAUGAUGGGAUCACCAACAUGUAUAAUACAGGCAAUGUUACUUACAACAAUGUUUCUUAAAACUUGCAUUUAGUGCCUAUAAAAAGUAUAGAUACUUAAGAUCCGCCAUGUCUUCAUGAAUCAGAAUCUUCAGGAGAAAGAUCUGGUGCCUAAAAUUUAUCCAGCAUCCAAGGUGGUGGAUUGAAGGCUUCAUUAGCAUGGCUCAUCCACUUGGACAGAGCAAAAGAUUGUGUAGAAAUUCAUGAAUUCAUGCUAUGAACUUUUAACCAAGAAGAAAUAUAGGAACUCAACAGAAAAAGAGAAAGGAAUCACAGACUCUUGGAGAGAAAUGGUGAUCAGCAACCUGCACUGUGAGCCAAGUGGAAAACUGUGUCUUCAGAAAGUGAAAGUGGGGGAGACUGCCUCUGUGAUACACAUCUCCUAUGGGGGAGCUGGGCAAUCCAGGCCACAGUGGAGUGCCUUAACCCUACCCAGCACUGGAGCUGAUCUGGUGAGGGGUGGAGAGUAUAUGAGAAGGAGCAGCAUCAGGACUUGCUUUGCAUGCACUCUCAGAACCCAGCAGGGAUGGAAGGAAGCCAUUCCUGAUCCUACCUCUUACUCGACUUGGGAGAUGUCUGCCAGCUAACUCAGGUGGUGGUCACAGGUUUGAACUUUCUAAUGUCUCCCAAUCUAGGUUUGCAAUCUGAUCUCAAGUGAGAACAAACUCCUUGGCCAAAACUGAGGGAUGAGUGGGAAGUGUGCUUUUACCACAGGUGCAGGAGCUGGGCAUACCUGUUUCAUAGGAAAAUGAGGAGUGGCAUGGCUGCAAAGCUUCGGUUUCUGUCUUUAGUAGCAAGAAUUGUGGCCUGGGAUAAUUGUAUGUUCUGAGUGUACAUUGCCCUGGGACCCAGAAAACUGUUGUCAGCAGAAGUCUGUAUGUGUAAGGUGUGCCUGGCCAAGGGUGUGGGAACUGGAUGGGUCUUACUACCACAUGCUACCCCAUCUCCCCAUGCAGAAACUUAUGUGCAACAGAGGCAGCUGUGCUCCUCCCCAGAACAUUACACCAGUAACUAGGGGACUGCCCUCUGGUUCCUAUUGGGGCCGCCAAUGGUGCCUGCCCAUGGGGAGCCCAGAGUAUGGACUUGCUUGACCCAACCCCUAUCCAUGUUUGUUCCUCCACCUCCUCUGGUAGAGUAACAAAACAAAAAGAUAUUUACCAAUUCCAUGGCCCUGCCCAUUGCCUGAGACAUCUGAGUAUCUCUCCUAGGUAACAUAAGCAAAGCACAAAUCCCACAACCACCAACACAACUUACUCUGUCCUGCAAGUGUCACCUCCUGGCUGGAGACCAACUGGCAUGACCCAUUAGAACAUCUGCUGCCACAGUAACACAGUGCUUGUGAAGAAAAAACAACAACAGUCAAAACACUUGUGCAACUUCAGCUUACAACAUUGCCCACAUCAUCUCAGCUAGUUAGGAGGUCAUAAACCUGUCCACAUGCCCUGUACAUUACUACUACAGCUGGCAUUUGAGAAAGCUACCACACUAAGGCUACUGAUAACGUAGGAAAUCUUAGAGUCUAUGUCACUCCCCUUCCAUUCUCAUCAGAGUUGGUGCUUCAGUCUAAUGCUGGGAGACCAGAGGAUAGGUUAGCUUAGUCUAGCUUCACACAAUAUCACCCCCCUCUCGAGCUAAGAGCAGAGCCCCAGCCAUUGCAAAUACCAGACUUGUCCAUAGCCUGAGGCACCAGAGAGCUUGAGAUGGCUGACAAGAAAUAUCAGUGACCAAUUCUUCUCAGAAAGUAGAACCAAAAUUACAGGUGAAUAAUCAUAGUGCAAAUAAAGUGUUAAGGGGAGAGUGCUGGUGCCCACUGGAGAGUUCACUGGAAAAAUCUGUGAGACACACACAAAAAGAAGGUAACAAUAAACUGGCAGAUAUCAAACUCUGAGAUACUCAGAAAACCAUGAACAUUGUAAGUAGGAAUACGCUCAGCCUCCCUAUCCCCUACAGUAGAUUAUUGAUGUCCAAGCUCAAUGAGAGCUUCUUUGCCUUCAAGAGCACAAGUAUUGGACUGAGCUGUAAUUUGGGGACUUCUCAAGGGCAUUAUCUUGUUUACACAAGGUCUCUUCCUUUACCCACUGGACCUGAGCUGUAGUGACAAGCACCAUACUAGUUGCACACCCAUUGUGGGACUUCUUCUGUCCAUAGACCUUCAACCUGGACAGACCUGUGCAUCUUCACAACUUGUGUAUCUUCACAACACUGGAUCUCUUGUAGACAGUCCCCAGCCGAGCCUGGAUUUUGGCAGCCCCAAAGGGCAACUAAACUCAGAGAAGCAGCAGAAUUCACAGUAGUCUGGCCCCCAAGAACUGCCACUCCUAGAGGAAGGCAGAGUGCAGCACAUCCAGGGAGCACCCAAUGGGACACAAGAAACCAGAUUGUAGGACUUGAGUCCCAGAUCUUUCCACUUGUGGAAAGUUUCUUUGAGCAGAGGCACAGGUACAGUGCUGGGCUCAGUGGAGAAAACCUGAUAUUCUACCCAACAGACUUCUGAAGAUUACUGAAAAAGGGGACUUCUUCUCCCCACCACCUUUCACCGCCAACACAGCUGAGGCUUCUCCCAUGGUAGCUCAGGACAGAUUUACCUGUAGACAGCUUUUCUGGACCACAUUAGGGAGACUGCAUCCCACAGGGGAAGUGCCCUCUGGACUCAGACUUGCAUGAGGGGUAGAGUCACAACCCUUUUUUACAUGGAACAUCAGCAUUCCUGUGGUUGGGAAGAGGUGUCUGUCUGAUCUGAAUAGCCAGAACACUAGGAUUUGUGUGUGAGAAGGAGACAGACCCUUUUUCUGCUGGUCUGGAAGUGGGGCUAAGGAGGCUCUCUCUUUUGCCCCUAUGAGGAGCUCAUUGCUUUUCACUGAGAGUUCCCUUAGCCACCUCUUUCAAGGUUGGGACCUCUGCCCACCAUUAGGGAAUUGCUCAUACACACAUAAUUCAGCCACAGCCAGAUUUUACUCUUGGGAAACUCCUACUGGCCUGAAGCCUGAACUGUACGCUACAGUAAAAUAAUAAUAAUAAUCAUGAUAAUGGAAAAAUAAUUAAAAAGUGUACAUUGCUACCAGAACAAAAUGAGAUUCAUGAGCCCUCUCUCAUUCAAGCCCCACAGGAGACAACAAACCUGCUCACACAGCCAGCACAUUGCUACCACAACCAGCAUCUGAGAAAGCCAUAACACAAAGAUUCUCUAUAACAAGGGAACUCAUGCAGAGUCUUUGCCACUGAAAGCACCCAGAGCCAAAGCUAGGUAACCAUAAAAUAAACACAUUAAAGUUAUAUGCUCACAAGGGAAAAAAUUUAAAAAUCAAGUUGAAUUAAACAUAAUUCCAAGAAUAAGAAGAAGAAAUGGUUGACCCAAAUGAGAAAGAACCAUAAAAAUAAUUCUGGCAGUAUAAAAAAAGCAGAAUUCUAUAACAUCCUCAAAAGAUCAUAUUAGCUCUCCAGCAGUGUCACCUAACCACAAUGAAAUCUUUGAAAUAGCAGUUAAAGAAUUUAAAAUGCUGAUUAUUAAGUUGCUUGGUAAGAUUGCAGAAAAAUCUGAAAACCAACAUAAAGAAAUCAAAUAAAACAAUUCAAAAUAUAAAUGAAAAAUUUUCCAAAGAGAUAGAUAUUUUUAAGAAGACAAAAAGCACCCCAGAAGGAAAAUUACAUUUAGAAAAUUACGAAAUGCAGUAAAAAGUUUUUGUCAAUACAUUAGACCAAAUAGCAGAAAUAAUUUCAGAGCUUGAAUGCAAGCCUUUGAAUUCAACCAAUCAGGGCUAAUAAUAAUUACCAAAAAACAUGAAAAAAUUAAAAAACAAAGUAUCCAAGAAAUAUAGAAUUAUAUAAAACAUUCAAACCUAAGAAGCAUAUGUGUCCUAAGUUUAAAAAAAAAAGGACAAAAGUUUGAAAAAUUGAAAAACCUCUUUUAGGAAAAAUUUCCUGAUGUUUCUAGAGAUUUAGACACCCAAAUUGAAGAAGUUCAAAGAAUUCCUGAGAGAUUCAUUGCAAAAAGGAAAUCACCAAGGUGUAUAUCGUAAAGCUAUCUAAAGUUGAUGUGAAGGAAAAAAAUUACAAAAGCACCAAAAUAAAAGCAUCAAAUAACUUACAAAGGGAAACUUAUCAGACUAACAGCUGACUUCUCAGCAGAAACCUAACAAUCCAGAAAAUAUUAGCAUCCUAUCUUUAGUCUCCUCAAAUAGAAUAAGUGUCCACAUGCCAACAUACCAAGAGUUUUUCCACAGCAAACAAAAUUUCAUAAAUAAGGGAGAAAUAAAAUCUUUCCCAGACGAGCAAAAAUGCUGAGGGAAUUUGUCACAACUGGGUCAGCCUUCCAUGAAAUGCUGAAGGGAGUUCUAAAUAUUGAAACAAAGUUUCAAUACACGCUAGCAUAAAGAGAAAUAUUCAUAUAUACAUAUUGAAUAUACAAUAAAGUUGAUAUUAGAUAUCUUUAUGUAGUGUUAAAUAAUUAAAUAUCCCUAAGUGGCAAAAAUCAUACCUUUAGAAAUAAUGAAUUUAUAUAUCUCUCAUAUACUGAAAAAUAAUUUUGAUUUAAUUAGUACAACAACAAGCAUACUAAUUCUAUUAAAUUUUUAUAUAUGCUUGCUGGACUAUAGGGAAGGUUUUAAUAUCAAGGUACAAGGCAGCACAUUUUCUCAAGGCAGAGCUCUGAAAUGUAGGAUUUUCUCCAUAUAUUUAUGUAAGAUAAUGGCUUAUAGAAUGAUAAUCAGGGUCUUCAUCUCAUAUCUCAACCUUAAAAAUUAAAAAUGUAAAUAUAAUAUAAAAACAUUAAAUUAUGAGAAGAUAAUAGUGAUAUUCCAUGUACAAUUUCAUAUCAUCUUGGCAAAGAAAUAGUUUGAAUUUAGGCUUUCUAAGUUAAAUGCCUUUUCUUUCUUUUUUUUCUUCCUCUCUUCUUCUCUUUAUUCCUACCUCUCUUCUUCUUUCUUUUCUUUCUUCUUUCUUCCUGUCCUUUUAUUUUCUUUCCUACUUUUUUCUAUUUUUUUUCUUUUUCUUUUUGUCUAAUUACCCUGGAUACAACAUCUUAUAAAAACUUAAACAGAAGUAGCAAGAUGAACAUCUCUGCUUUGCUCCAUUUCUCAGCAUUUAGUCUUUCACCACUUAGUUUCAUAUGAGCUUUUGGUUUUUGUUUGCUUUCUCUUUUAGAUGUCUUUACUGGGUUGAGAAAUUUUGUAUCCUUUAUCCCUAGAUUAAUGCACGUUUUUAACAUUAAAUAGUAUUGAUUUUAUUAAAAG